rnacentral:rRNA from 1 species
UACGUAGGUGGCAAGCGUUGUCCGGAAUUAUUGGGCGUAAAGCGCGCGCAGGCGGUCCUUUAAGUCUGAUGUGAAAGCCCACGGCUCAACCGUGGAGGGUCAUUCGAUACUGAUCAACUCAAAGGCAGGAAAGGAUAGUGGAAUUCCCGGUGUAGUGGUGAAAUGCGUAGAUAUCGGGAGGAACACCAGUGGCGAAGGCGACUACCUGGCCUGUUCUUGACGCUGAGGCGCGAAAGCUAGGGGAGCAAACGGG